rnacentral:rRNA from 1 species
AUUGAACGCUGGCGGCAGGCAUAACACAUGCAAGUCGAGCGAGAGGGGGACGGGUGAGAAAUGUCUGGGAAACUGCCUGAUGGAGGGGGAUAAGUAAUGGAAAAGGUAGCUAAUACCGCAUACCAUCAGAUGGGCCCAGAUGGGAUUAGCUAGUUGGUGGGGUAAUGGCUCACCAGGGCGACGAUCCCUAGCUGGGCUGAGAGGAUGACCAGCCACACUGGAACUGAGACACGGUCCAGACUCCUACGGGAGGCAGCAGUGGGGAAUAUUGCACAAGGGGCGCAAGCCUGAUGCAGCCAUGCCGCGUGUAUGAAGAAGGCCUUCGGGUUGUAAAGUACUUUCAGCGAGGAGGCGUUACUCGCAGAAGAAGCACCGGCUAACUCCGUGCCAGCAGCCGCGGUAAUAC